rnacentral:rRNA from 1 species
UGCUCAAGAGAAGGGACGCACAAGCAGACUGUGUCAGAUUAUCACCGGAAACGUCAGAAGACAUCAAAAAGGGUUGACUGCAAGGCAAAUAUUAGAGUCAAAAAGAGGAAGGAUGGCAAUUUUGUGAUAGAAAUGGUUGAACUCAACCAUAAUCACAAGAUGCUGGAAAGCCCCGGGAUGCUUUUGCACAUGCGAUUGCACAAAAAAGAUGAUCCUUUGAUAGACCAGUUAGUGAAAGACAUGCAACUGGACAACCACACACACGCUCAGAUGAUGUCAACGCUGUCACGUAUGUCCGGUGGUCUGCAGUACAUGGGACAUACUAGCCGUGACUGGGUAAACAAAAAACAUAAUUUUGCCAGAGAAGAGUCCCAAGAUGACGUCAAGAAACUUCUGGAUUUCUUCGAGAAGAUGCAGAAAAUAAACCCUGAGUUCUUCUAUGACUAUGACGUUGAUGCAGAUAACCGUGUAAGAAAUGUCUUUUGGGCCAACGCAAGUUGCAAAGGAUUGUAUGAAGAUUUUGGAGACUUCGUUACAUUUGACACGACAUAUAAAACUAACAAAUUCCACAUGCCGCUAGGAGUCUUCGUGGGAGUGAACCAUCAUCUACAGAGCACCAUAUUUGUUGUUGCCCUUGUGCGGGAUGAAACAAUACCGUUGUUCGAGUGGGACUAGUGUUCUUCGAUGAAGGCAGCAUUAAAAACUAUCCUCCUAGAUACACUACAUAAGUUGUGUCGGUGGCAUAUUAUGAAGAAGUACAAAGACCACCUCGCCUUGUUGUAUAAGGCGCACGAGAAACUCAAGGGUGAACUCAAUGCUGUGCUGAACCACCCACUAAUGCCAUCAGAAUUUGAACGAGCAUGGAAGGACCUCAUUCAGAGAUACAACUUGCAAAAUGACGAAGUGAUGAAUUCACUAUGGGAUGACAGGCACGAGUGGAUCUCGGCUUACUACAAGAAAAUUUUCUGUGCUCGGAUGAGUUCCACGCAGAGAAGCGAGAGCAUGGACCGCGUACUGAAGAAAAACUUUGUCAAAGAGAAGCAUGAUCUCCAUCUGUUUGCUCAGCAGGUGGACAAGUGCAUUCAAACCAGGAAGGCCGUCGAGCAUGCAAAGACAGUAGCAAAUGAGUCAGAGGUAAAAACAAUAACAAAGUUUGGGUUCAAAGUUCAGCUAUCAAAAGUGUAUACAAGGGCAGUGUUUGCAGAUUUCAAAGAAACACUCUACCACAGCACUGCAUUCAGAGCAGAACGGUGCCCUGGGAACCCGACAAAGUAUCUCGUACACCACUACAACAGAUCGGAUGCAUUUGACUGGGCAAGGCAUAAUUUCCAAGUGGUCGCCGAUGAACAAAAAUGUGUCUACGAAUGUGAGUGCAAACUCUGGACACACACAGGUGCGACUCGCUAG